AUGGCGCCGCCGCCACGCCGCCUCCUCCUCGUCCUCCUCGGGUUCCUUGCCGCUGCCUCUCUAGCUACCCUCGCCGCGGCUGUCUACGAAGACCAAGUCGGCCUCGCUGACUGGCAUCAGAAGUACAUAGGCAAAGUUAAGCAGGCAGUUUACCACACUCAGAAGAGUGGGAGGAGGCGUGUCGUGGUCUUGACAGAGGAAAAUGUGAUCGCCUCUCUUGAUCUUCGUUCAGGAGAUAUAUUUUGGCGCCAUGUCAUUGAGAAGAACAACCCCAUCGACCAGCUUAGUCUUUCAGCUGGAAAAUAUGUUGUUACUCUUUCUUCGGGAGGUAGUAUAUUGAGGGCAUGGAAUCUUCCUGAUGGACAAAUGAUCUGGGAAACCAAUAUUCAUACUUCCACAUCAUCAAAGUCGUUGCUGCAUGUUUUGUCAAACAGUAAAGUGGUAAAGGAUAAUUUGGUUUUAGUUUUGGCUGGACAAUGGAUUUAUGCUGUAUCAAGCAUUGAUGGAGUCAUUUCUUGGGGAAAGGAGUUCACACAUGACGGCCUAGAAAUCAAGCAGGUUGUUCAAUCACCUGAUAAUGAUAUUGUCUAUGUUGUUGGGAUUGCUGGUUCCUCAAAGCUUGCUGUUUAUCAGUUGAAUGCUAAAACUGGAGAGAUAGUAAAGGAUGCCCAAGAGUCAUUGCCUGAUGGAUUAUGUGGUGAAAUAUUACUUGGUUCCAGUAAUGUGUUGGUAGCACUGGAUGAGACUAGGUCAGCUCUGUUUAUUGUUGAUUUCAAGGGUGAGAGCAUCAGCUACAACAAGGUGCAGAUUUCAGAGUUUGUUCAAGACUUUUCUGGGACGGUCAAACUUCUACCACUGAUAUCUAAUGGUAUCAUAGCUUUGCAAUCGUCUUCUACUGUUUCUCUCCUGAAGCUUAAAGGUAUGGAUGGGUUGGAAGUAAUCCAUAGCUUUGACCAACCAGCCUCUGUGAGUGAUGCUCUGACAAUAACAGAAAAAGAUGAGGCCUUUGCUGUUGUGCAACAUGUGGGUUCUCAAAUUGAAUUUAUUGUCAAAGUUACAAGUGAUUUAACCAAUGAGAUUAUUAGGGAGAAAGUUGAUAUAGAUCAGCAUAGAGGCAGUGUACAGAAGGUCUUCUUGAAUAAUUAUGUUCGCACUGAUAAAUCUCAUGGUUUCCGGGCUCUGGUUGUAAUGGAAGAUCAUUCCAUCCUGUUAAUUCAACAAGGUGCGGUUGUCUGGAGCAGAGAGGAUGGACUUGCUUCAAUUGUUGAUGUAAUGACUUCUGAAUUGCCUGUUGAGAAGGAUGGUGUCUCAGUUGCGGAUGUGGAACACAAUCUCUUUGAAUGGCUUAAGGGACAUGUGCUGAAACUCAAAGGAACUCUAAUGCUUGCUAGUGUUGAUGAACUUGCUGCAAUCCAAGCAUUGAGAGUCAGAAGCUCUGAGAAAAAUAAGAUGACCAGAGACCAUAAUGGAUUCCGCAAACUUCUUAUUGUAUUGACCAAGGCUGGCAAAGUGAUAGCUCUGCAUACUGGAGAUGGCCGUAUUAUCUGGUCAAAUUUGUUGCCUUCCCUUCGUGCUUCUAAAUUGGGCGAAAUGCCUUCUGCCUUGAGGAUAUACCAAUGGCAGGUACCCCAUCACCGCGUUAUGCGUGAGAACCCGACCAUACUUGUUGUGGGAAGAUCUGGAGCCAGCUCUGUUGCUCCUGGUGUCCUCUGUAUUCUUGAUUCAUAUUCCGGAGAGGAACUCAACUCUCAGAGCUUUGACCAUUCUGUUGCCCAAAUUAUCCCAUUGACACUGAAGGAUUCAUCUGAACAGCGUCUUCAUCUUAUUGUUGAUUCCAACUCCAACGCUCACCUAUAUCCAAGAUCUCCGGAUGCCCUUAAUUCAUUUAUUAAUGAAAUGUCAAAUCAGUAUUUCUAUUCUGUAGAUAUUCAGAAAAAUGCUAUCAGAGGGUAUUCAUUACAGAAAUCAUGCGACUUCAAUUCGGAUGACACAUACUGCUUUAGCACAAAGUUGUUAUGGUCUAUCAUUUUCCCUUCUGAUGCAGAAAGGAUUUCUGUCUCAGAAGCACGAAAGAUGAAUGAGGUUGUUCAUACUCAAGCAAAGAUCAUAGCAGAUCAAGAUGUGAUGUAUAAGUAUUUAUCAAAGAACUUAAUUUUUGUUGCUACGGUGUCUCCUAAAGCUGCUGGUGAAAUUGGAUCCGCGGCACCUGAAGAAGCUUCACUCAUGGCAUAUCUCAUUGAUGCUGUCAGCGGACGCAUACUACACCGUGUGACCCAUCAUGGUGCACAAGGCCCUGUACAUGCCGUUGUCAGCGAGAACUGGGUUGUCUAUCAUUAUUUCAACCUCCGAGCUCACAGAUUUGAAAUUGCAGUGAUUGAGAUAUAUGAUCAAUCUAGGGCGGACAACAAAGAUGUAUUGAAGCUCAUACUUGGGAAGCACAAUUUGUCUGCACCCAUGACUUCUUAUUCCCGACCAGAGGUUAUGGUGAAAUCCCAGUCAUACUUUUUUACUCAUUCGGUGAAGGCAAUGGCAGUUACACAAACAGCCAAGGGUAUCACUUCCAAGCAGCUUCUCAUUGGCACGAUUGGUGAUCAGGUUUUGGCACUUGACAAGCGCUUUCUUGACCCACGCCGUUCAUUGAAUCCUACACAACAAGAGAAAGAAGAGGGUAUUAUACCGUUAACAGAUUCUUUGCCUAUUAUUCCACAGUCCUAUGUGACGCACUCUCUUCAAGUGGAAGCACUGCGAGGAAUUGUUUCUAUUCCGGCAAAGUUGGAGUCCACUACUCUUGUUUUCACUUAUGGUGUGGAUCUCUUCUACACUCGGCUUGCACCAUCAAGAACCUAUGAUUCACUCACGGAUGAAUUCAGUUAUGCUCUUCUUCUAAUUACUAUUGUCGCAUUGGUUGCUGCUCUUUUCGUUACUUGGAUUUGGUCUGAGAAAAAGGAAUUAAGAGACAAGUGGAGUUACCAGCUGCCCUAUCUACCGCACCGUUCGAUGCGCUUAAUCAAGACCAUCAACACAUCGCUCCACAGUAGACGUCACCCUGUGGUCGUCGAUGUUACUGCAACGGAACACCGCCGGUAG
rnacentral:rRNA from 1 species